AAAUGCGAUAAGUAAUGUGAAUUGCAGAAUUCAGUGAAUCAUCGAAUCUUUGAACGCACCUUGCGCUCCUUGGUAUUCCUUGGAGCAUGCCUGUUUGAGUAUCAUGAAAUCUUCAAAGUAAAUCUUUUGUUAACUCAAUUGGUUUCUACUUUGGUAUUGGAGGUCUUUGCAGCUUCACACCUGCUCCUCUUUGUUCAUUAGCUGGAUCUCAGUGUUAUGCUUGGUUCCACUCGGCGUGAUAAGUUAUCUAUCGCUGAGGACACUGUAAAAGGUGGCCAAGGUAAAUGCAGAUGAACCGCUUCUAAUAGUCCAUUGACUUGGACAAUACUUUUAUGAUCCGAUCUCAAAUCAGGUAGGACUACCCGCUGAACUUAAGC
rnacentral:misc_RNA from 1 species